rnacentral:rRNA from 1 species
CACCUGAUUGACGAUGGAUCACCAGUGAGUGGCGGACGGGUGAGUAACACGUAGGUAACCUGCCCCGGAGCGGGGGAUAACAUUUGGAAACAGAUGCUAAUACCGCAUAACAACAAAAGCCACAUGGCUUUUGUUUGAAAGAUGGCUUUGGCUAUCACUCUGGGAUGGACCUGCGGUGCAUUAGCUAGUUGGUAAGGUAACGGCUUACCAAGGCGAUGAUGCAUAGCCGAGUUGAGAGACUGAUCGGCCACAAUGGAACUGAGACACGGUCCAUACUCCUACGGGAGGCAGCAGUAGGGAAUCUUCCACAAUGGGCGCAAGCCUGAUGGAGCAACACCGCGUGAGUGAAGAAGGGUUUCGGCUCGUAAAGCUCUGUUGUUGGAGAAGAACGUGCGUGAGAGUAACUGUUCACGCAGUGACGGUAUCCAACCAGAAGGUCACGGCUAACUACGUGCCAGCAGCCGCGGUAAUACGUAGGUGGCAAGCGUUAUCCGGAUUUAUUGGGCGUAAAGCGAGCGCAGGCGGUUGCUUAGGUCUGAUGUGAAAGCCUUCGGCUUAACCGAAGAAGUGCAUCGGAAACCGGGCGACUUGAGUGCAGAAGAGGACAGUGGAACUCCAUGUGUAGCGGUGGAAUGCGUAGAUAUAUGGAAGAACACCAGUGGCGAAGGCGGCUGUCUGGUCUGCAACUGACGCUGAGGCUCGAAAGCAUGGGUAGCGAACAGGAUUAGAUACCCUGGUAGUCCAUGCCGUAAACGAUGAGUGCUAGGUGUUGGAGGGUUUCCGCCCUUCAGUGCCGGAGCUAACGCAUUAAGCACUCCGCCUGGGGAGUAC